rnacentral:rRNA from 1 species
UACAGAGGGUGCGAGCGUUAAUCGGAAUUACUGGGCGUAAAGCGUGCGUAGACGGUAGCGUAAGUCAGAUGUGAAAGCCCCGGGCUCAACCUGGGAAUUGCAUUUGAGACUGCUCUGCUCGGGUGCGGAAGAGGGAAGCGGAAUUUCCGGUGUAGCGGUGAAAUGCGUAGAUAUCGGGAAGAACACCCGUGGCGAAGGCGGCUCUCUGGGACGGUACUGACGCUGAGACGCGAAAGCGUGGGGAGCGAACAGG